UACGGAGGAUGCGAGCGUUAUCCGGAUUUAUUGGGUUUAAAGGGUGCGCAGGCGGGGCUUUAAGUCAGCGGGGAAAUGCCAAUGCUCAACAUUGGAACUGCCGUUGAAACUGGGGGUCUUGAGUGUGGAUGAAGUAGGCGGAAUUCGUUGUGUAGCGGUGACAUGCAUAGAUAUAACGAGGAACUCCGAUUGCGUAGGCAGCUUACUAAACCAUUACUGACGCUCAAGCACGAAAGCGUGGGGAUCAAACAGG
rnacentral:rRNA from 1 species